rnacentral:lncRNA from 1 species
CAACCAUUUAAAUUCCCAGUGUUUUUCAAUUUGGAGUGGAUAAAACCCACACUAGUGACAAACAAGCCCUCAAGUGGCAACGGAGAUGUUCAUCCGGUCGGAGCCACGGCGUUUUUGACCAUAAACAAACCGGAUUUUCGGUUCCGAAGAAAACGGGUCAGCAUUUUCACGGGACCGAAUUUUCUCCGGAACUAGAAACCGUUUUGGUUCGGUUAAACGGAGUGCCCAAUCAUACGCAUCCCAAAAGUUGCAGGGGGAUGUGAGUUUUUUUUGUUUUUCUUUUUUUAGGGAGGGAAGGAGCGAUGUGAGUCGAACACACGCCACCUAUAGUCAAAUGCAGCAAGCAGGACGAGGUUCAUGCUGCUGCAAGCAAGCAAGCGGGCAGCGAUUGACCAAACAGUAAAUUACUGUACUGGUUGGCCUUUUUCCACGCACGAAACCAGGAAUCCACGCCGAGAUUCUCCGAUCCCCACCUGCAUCUGCAUCCUGCCGGCGGGGAGCAGAUCGAAGAUUCAUCGUCCAUUGGCUCCCCAGGUUGGUAGGAG